rnacentral:rRNA from 1 species
CACGUAAGGAGCGAGCGUUGUUCGGAAUUAUUGGGCGUAAAGGGCUUGUAGGCGGCCUGGUAAGUCUGAAGUAAAAGACCGCAGCUUAACUGCGGGACUGCUUUGGAAACUGCCUGGCUAGAAUCAGUGAGGGGUUACUGGAAUUCCUGGUGUAGGGGUGGAAUCUGUUGAGAUCAGGAAGAACACCGGAGGCGAAGGCGAGUAACUGGCGCAUGAUUGACGCUGAUGAGCGAAAGCGUAGGGAGCGAACAGG